rnacentral:rRNA from 1 species
UACGGAGGGUGCAAGCGUUAUCCGGAUUUACUGGGUUUAAAGGGUGUGUAGGCGGACUAUUAAGUCAGCGGUGAAAUCUCCGGGCUCAACCCGGAAACUGCCAUUGAUACUAUUAGUCUUGAAUAUUGUUGAGGUGGGCGGAACGGGUCAUGUAGCGGUGAAAUGCAUAGAUAUGACCCGGAACACCGAUUGCGAAGGCAGCCCACUAAGCAAUUAUUGACGCUGAGGCACGAAAGCGUGGGGAUCAAACAGG